rnacentral:rRNA from 1 species
AUGAACGCUGGCGGUCUGCUUAACACAUGCAAGUCGAGCGCAUCCUUCGGGGUGAGCGGCGGACGGGUUAGUAACGCGUGGGAACGUGCCCUUUGCUCUGGAAUAGCCCUGGGAAACUGGGGGUAAUACCGGAUGUGCCCUGAGGGGGAAAGGUUUACCGGCAAGGGAUCGGCCCGCGUCUGAUUAGCUAGUUGGAGUGGUAACGGCACACCAAGGCAAUGAUCUGUAGCUGGUCUGAGAGGAUGAUCAGCCACACUGGGACUGAGACACGGCCCAGACUCCUACGGGAGGCAGCAGUGGGGAAUCUUGCGCAAUGGCCGACAGGCUGACGCAGCGACGCCGCGUGGAGGAUGAC